rnacentral:lncRNA from 1 species
CUGAUUGGUCACACAACUGAAUCAUUCCUGGGAUUCUUUGUUUUUUUCCCGAUAGUUGUUACUUCCAAGAAAAUACAAAACAAAGUAGGAAAUUAACUUUAAAAACAUAACUAUAGUUAAUCAGGCAAGGGUAAAACGUUACCUGCUGAUGAUGAGGUGCCUGGGAUCGCCAACUUUUCCCCAACACCACCCGUGCUAAAUGUUGCACUCAGUGACUCAACGUCAAAGUUUACAUCUGUGCGUCUUGGAAUAUCAUACUUGGGAACAUCCUCCGAGCGUCUCGAGACAUGUUCCGCAAGAUGGUUCAUUUCGUCGGACACAGCUGAUAGUCUCUGUUGGAGUGUUUCUAGUGCUAUGUCUGCCAUGUGUUUGUUGACCAAACCUUCCAUUCGUCGCUGCAUCGACCAGCUAGAAGUAUCUCCAUUAUUAUGCUCCAUAAAUAUCUCAACCUGUCGAUCUCCUAAACGCAGAGCAGGCAACAGAUGGCACACAGACAGCAGAGUUGGGGACAGAUAUGCAGGGACAGACUGGCAGAGACAGGGAGUCUCAGGCAGGGAUGACUGGGGCCUUCAGCAAGUAAGACACUGUAAGACACUGGGAGGAGCAAUAUGAGUCUGAGGUCGUCACGUUGAUGGGGAUGGUGAUGGAGGCUUUGGUGGUCCACACAACGAAGAAGCAGGGGUCCCUUCUAGGGAUGUGGAGCUGACCUGGUGCCAGUAAAGAUGGUCUUUAUGGAGGCUGUAAGACCUUCCCUCCUUGAUAUAGAAAUGCUUCGACUUUGCUUCCUCUUCAAUGGUAAGGUUUCUUGCACCAUAGGGACACUUGACCACCACCACUGCUGCUAUGAUGCCCACCAGACCAUCCAAUGAGGCACCCAGGAUCCCAGACCUUGUGACCCAAAACCCUGACUCCUGCACAUCCAUCCCUGUACCCAUUUGAAUGCCUUGAUGCCCUGCUCUUUUAUCAGUGCCCCACAUUACCAACAACACUUUAUUCAAUGACUGAUCUGAGGACCCUUUUUAGCAGUGAUAGAGUAACGCGCUUGGCCCGAACCACUGCUCCAUAAUUGCUCUCUCCUCAUGAUGUGCCAUUUGGGGUUGGUGCACUGUCCUGUUAGCGUAUAGCCUACUGCUCCUCCACUGACAGCAACAUGCCAGCCAGGAUGCCUGCAUGCCCCAGGUGCCCUUGUUUUUUAACAAUAUCCGGUACAGACAGGGAGGGUAGCGGUUGUUCUGGCUCAGGUUCAAAGAAACAUGCCGUUCCACUGAACCUGCCCCGGAGUCAGUUCCUUAGCCAAGAUCCUCCUCUGUGGGCUCUCGGGAAAGAGGGUUGUAGUCUUCGGCCAGGUACAGGUCUUCCACUGACUGCACCUGGUUGGGCACGGCUGGCUUCCUCCACUCACAUUCCACAUCCGUAUGGCUGAUAUGAACUGCCAAAAUAGGCUGCAUGGCUACAUUCAUGAGCUCCACGGAGGCAUUCGCAUGUGGUAGAGAGAAUCCCCUGGUCACCUAUAGAGACCUGCCUAGAGGAAGGAUUUCGCUACACUUGCAUUAACAUCUGUUAACCAUGUAUAUGUGACCAAUAACAUUUCAUUUGAUUCGAUUUUUUUUAAGGAAAAAUCCACCCAAAACCACUCAUUCCUUUAAUUUACAGUGUUAAAUAACACUAAUAUGUAAAAACAAUAUAUUUGGUGAACACAUGUUUUAUUUUGGCUUCAUAAUAAGGUUGGUAGCAACAUGGAAAAUCAUUGUGGAAAUCUGUUGCUCAAGUCGACUACAAAAUCCACAAUGCAAUGCUCUCUCAUGGGCUUGCUGGCUGGCUAGCUUUGAGCUAGCUAGCAAGCAAAUGUAACCAUACACAAUAAAAAAACACAAUAUCAGCAUGUAAAGUAGAUAGUUAGUGCAGUUUCUUUUGGAAAUUUUCGGGCUAUCAAUUUAGAAGUCUACAAUCUCACCAUGUUCCACCUGCAGAUCGAUGUGCGUCACAGAAUGGAGUCUAGUAUUUGCAAGGCAGAUAUACUUUUGAGGAGAUGGGAAUCGUUGCCCAUGCUCGUCAAUGGACCGCGCGGUGCAUUCUGGGAAAUGGAAUUGUAACAUGCUUUCGUGGAAAAUUGGCACGUUCCUCGACAUACUUUGAGAAGGGAGUGCAUGACGAUUAGCUUAGCAACCGCGUGAUACAGCAUGAAAAUGUGAACGUGAUUGGUCUACAGUCUGCUGGAUGGGGCGUUAUACGUUCCUUCAUUCACGCUCCUUCAUUUAUCUCCUUUCUAUAAUAUCUCUGGAAACAGCACCAUGCAAUGCACCCUGGACUGAACAGGCAGACAAAUAUGAAAAAUGUGCUAGACACUAUUAAAUUACACAUUUCUCGAGUUAGGUACAGUCGUGGCCAAAAGUUUUGAGAAUGACACAAAUGUUAAUUUCCACAAAGUUUGCUGCUUCAGUGUCUUUAGAUAUUUUUGUCAGGUGUUACUAUGGAAUACUGAAGUAUAAUUACAAGCAUUUCAUAAGUGUCAAAGGCUUUUACUGACAAUUACAUAAAGUUGAUGCAAAGAGUCAAUAUUUGCAGUGUUGACCCUUCCCCUCUGCAAUCCGCCCUGGCAUGCUGUCAAUUAACUUCUGGGCCACAUCCUGACUGAUGGCAGCCCAUUCUUGCAUAAUCAAUGCUUGGAGUUUGUCAGAAUUUGUGGGUUUUUGUUUGUCCACACGCCUCUUGAGGAUUGACCACAAGUUCUCAAUGGGAUUAAGGUCUGGGGAGUUUCCUGGCCAUGGACCCAAAAUAUCGAUGUUUUGUUCCCCGAGCCACUUAGUUAUCACUUUUGCCUAAUGGCAAGGUGCUCCAUCAUGCUGGAAAAGGCAUUGUUCGUCACCAAACUGUUCCUGGAUUGUUGGGAGAAGUUGCUCUCGGAGGAUGUGUUGAUACCAUUUAUUCAUGGCUGUGUUCUUAGGCAAAAUUGUGAGUGAGCCCACUCCCUUGGCUGAGAAGCAACAUGAAUGGUCUCAGGAUGCUUUACUGUUGGCAUGACACAGGACUGAUGGUAGCGCUCACCUUGUCUUCUCUGGACAAGCUUUUUUCCGGAUGCCCCAAACAAUCGGAAAGGGGAUUCAUCAGAGAAAAUGACAUUACCCCAGUCCUCAGCAGUCCAAUCCCUGUACCUUUUGCAGAAUAUCAGUCUGUCCCUGAUGUUUUUCCCUGGAGAGAAGUGGCUUCUUUGCUGCCCUUCUUGACACCAGGCCAUCCUCCAAAAGUCUUCUCCUCACUGUGCGUGCAGAUUCACUCACACCUGCCUGCUGCCAUUCCAUGUGUUUCCUUGCAGGUAACCAUGGUUGAAAGAGAAAGAACAAUGAUUCCAUGCACCAACCUCCUUUUGAAGCUUCCAGUCUGUUAUUCGAACUCAAUCAGCAUGACAGAGUGAUCUCCAGCCUUGUCGUCGUCAACACUCACACCUGUGUUAACGAGAGAAUCAUUGACAUGAUGUCAGCUGGUCCUUUUGUGGCAGGGCUGAAAUGCAGUGGAAAUGUUUUUGGGGGAUUCAGUUCAUUUGCAUGGCAAAGAAAGACUUUGCAAUUAAUUGCAAUUCAUCUGAUCACUCUUCAUAACAUUCUGGAGUAUAUGCAAAUUGCCAUCAUACAAACUGAGGCAGCAAACUUUUGGCCAUGACUGUAUAUCAAAUAAAUAUGAUCAGUGGCUCAUUUGAGAGAAGACGUCCUCCCGAAUUAUGACAUCGGCCAGUAUUGAAAUAUGACAUGUAUGAUAGACGUUUUUGCAAACUGAAAGUUGUAUUCCUAUUAACUUCGAGUGCAGUGAGAGCAACUUUAUCACGGUACUUCGUCAUACCGGAUGGAUUUCUGCCUGCUUGAACUCCAAUAACUCAGAUACACAUGACAACAUGAAAUGACCCAGGAAAUCGAUAAAACAUUAUUCAGAUAUCCACAAAAACAAUAUAAUAUGAAAAAUGGGUUAACCUUUCCUUUAAGUGCCACAUGCCUUUCAGUGCAACACCUUGAAAUGCGUUAGUUGUAAGAAAUGUGCUAUUUAAAAUAGCUUGAUUUGAUUGACAUUAUAGCUGUUGAAUAUUUAAUAAACUGUAAUUUUCAUGAGGACAAGUGCAGCUUUUCCAUUAACUUUUAAUUGAUAACUUGGGAUUUUAUCACUUGACAUAUCAAUCAUAUAGUGGGAAGGAGGCUAUAAAUCAAAACUAUGAAUGCGUGUACCACUCCGAAUAAAUAAAUACUGUGCCUUUGAAGAUUUGUCUCUGGUCAUGAAACUACUGUACAGGCUGGUUGUUUUAACAAAGUCAAUUCUGAAUGUCAAUAGAUUUUUUGAUUCGUUCUCAUCAAUGACAACAUUCUAGAGCUGAGUUAUCAUUCAUCGAAGUAUGGUAUCUGGGGUAAUCUGGUUCAUGAUUAUAUAAUUAAGGGGGCCUUUCCUUGUAGAAUGUUGAUAGCUGUAUAGAACACAUUGAUUGCUAAGAUGCUCAAACUUAAUAGCUAUACUUACCGACACAGGAUAAACUUUAUCUCUCAUGCUGGCCCUGACCAAACCGGUAAGUCGCCCGUCACUAUAGCUGCACUGCUGUCCAGACUUAUAGUGGUCUUCUCCCCUUUUAAGGCUCUUAUGCUCAUCCUUGAAAAAUGCCAUGAGGUCUGAAAUAGACACCGAAGUUGAAAUACUGUACAAACAAUUAUCUAGGCUAUUUUUUUAUCUACUGCUCUGCUAACUAGUUAGCUUGUGUAGUCUGUGG